GCACUGCUGAAGAGUUCCACAAUAGAACGAAACGGCUGUCCAGUAA
rnacentral:hammerhead_ribozyme from 1 species